ACGUUACCCGCGACGAAAACUAUGGUCUGCUGGUUUAUUCGCAAAUGUGAAUCACGAUGUUGAGACAUUUACUUGAUAUUAGAACGAGAAGCAGAAGUGCAGUGUGCAUGCACAAGAAAACAAAUGACGGGAGCGGGGAAGGAAGGAGAAGGUUUGUAUGUUUUUGAAGCGCAGAAUGAAACAGGUGCGAUCAUACUAGCACU
rnacentral:lncRNA from 1 species